UACGGAAGGCAGCAGUGGGGAAUAUUGCACAAUGGGCGAAAGCCUGAUGCAGCUAUGCCGCGUGUAUGAAGAAGGCCUUAGGGUUGUAAAGUACUUUCAUCGGGGAGGAAAAACAAAACUAAUAAUUUUAUUUCUUGACGUUACCCGAAAAAGAAGCACCGGCUAACUCCGUGCCAGCAGCCGCGGUAAUACGGAGGGUGCUAGCGUUAAUCAGAAUUACUGGGCGUAAAGAGCACGUAGGUGGUUUUUUUAAGUCAGAUGUGAAAUCCCUGGGCUUAACCUGGAACUGCAUUUUGAAACUGAAAUACUAGAGUAUCGUAGAGGGAGGUAGAAUUCUAGGUGUAGCGGUGAAAUGCGUAGAUAUCUGGAGGAAUACCUGUGGCGAAAGCGGCCUCCUAAACGAAUACUGACACUGAGGUGCGAAAGCGUGGGGAGCAAACGAGGGAUUAGGAUA
rnacentral:rRNA from 1 species